UUUAUCGKUUAUUUGAUAGUACCUUACUACAUGGAUACCUGUGGUAAUUCUAGAGCUAAUACAUGCUGAAAACCUCGACUUCGGAAGGGGUGUAUUUAUUAGAUAAAAAACCAAUGCCCUUCGGGGCUCCUUGGUGAAUCAUAAUAACUUAACGAAUCGCAUGGCCUUGCGCCGGCGAUGGUUCAUUCAAAUUUCUGCCCUAUCAACUUUCGAUGGUAGGAUAGUGGCCUACCAUGGUGGCAACGGGUAACGGGGAAUUAGGGUUCGAUUCCGGAGAGGGAGCCUGAGAAACGGCUACCACAUCCAAGGAAGGCAGCAGGCGCGCAAAUUACCCAAUCCCGACACGGGGAGGUAGUGACAAUAAAUACUGAUACGGGGCUCUUUUGGGUCUCGUAAUUGGAAUGAGUACAAUCUAAAUCCCUUAACGAGGAACAAUUGGAGGGCAAGUCUGGUGCCAGCAGCCGCGGUAAUUCCAGCUCCAAUAGCGUAUAUUAAAGUUGUUGCAGUUAAAAAGCUCGUAGUUGAACCUUGGGUUCGGCCGGCCGGUCCGCCUCACCGCGAGUACUGUCCGGCCGUUCCUUUCCUUCUGGGGAAUCCCAUGGCCUUCACUGGCUGUGGGGGGAACCAGGACUUUUACUGUGAAAAAAUUAGAGUGUUCAAAGCAGGCCUUUGCUCGAAAUACAUUAGCAUGGAAUAAAUA
rnacentral:rRNA from 1 species